GAUGAACGCUAGCGGUGCGCCUAACACAUGCAAGUCGAGCGCCCCGACCUUGCUUAUAAGCAAAACUUGUAAGCAGUGUCGGGGAGCGGCGAACGGGUGAGUAACACGUUGGAACCUACCUCGAACUCAGGGAUAGCCCACCGAAAGGUGGAUUAAUACCGGAUAGUCCCGAAAGGGUAAAGAUUUUUCGGUUCGAGAGGGGCCUGCGGUCUAUCAGCUUGUUGGUAAGGUAAUGGCUUACCAAGGCUACGACGGAUAUCUGGUGUGAGAGCAUGACCAGACACAAUGGAACUGAGACACGGUCCAUACUCCUACGGGAGGCAGCAGUGAGGAAUCUUCCGCAAUGGGCGAAAGCCUGACGGAGCGACACCGCGUGGAGGACGACGGCCUUUUGGUUGUAAACUCCUUUUCUGGGGGAAUAAAUGAUGAAGGUACCCCAGGAAUAAGCACCGGCUAAUUACG
rnacentral:rRNA from 1 species